AUUGAACGCUGGCGGCAGGCUUAACACAUGCAAGUCGAGCGGGGGAAGGUAGCUUGCUACCGGACCUAGCGGCGGACGGGUGAGUAAUGCUUAGGAAUCUGCCUAUUAGUGGGGGACAACAUCUCGAAAGGGAUGCUAAUACCGCAUACGUCCUACGGGAGAAAGCAGGGGAUCUUCGGAUCUUGAGCUAAUAGAUGAGCCUAAGUCGGAUUAGCUAGUUGGUGGGGUAAAGGCCUACCAAGGCGACGAUCUGUAGCGGGUCUGAGAGGAUGAUCCGCCACACUGGGACGGAGACACGGCCCAGACUCCUACGGGAGGCAGCAGUGGGGAAUAUUGGACAAUGGGGGGAACCCUGAUCCAGCUAUGCCGCGUGUGUGAAGAAGGCCUUAUGGUUGUAAAGCACUUUAAGCGAGGAGGAGGCUACUUUAGUUAAUACCUAGAGAUAGUGGACGUUACUCGCAGAAUAAGCACCGGCUAACUCUGUGCCAGCAGCCGCCGCGG
rnacentral:rRNA from 1 species